UAAAAUUCAAAAAUUAGCCAUUUAUUUGGUACUCAUUACUCAUCAGGAAAAGAAAUCUUGUUUAUUUUAUUUUUGGUGAGUUUUUGAUUUUCAAUUAAGUGAGAAGCAAAUGGCCUCAACAACUACCCCUUCACUUUCUCUCUCUUCUUCAUCGACCCUCGUCGACGGCAAGACAACUCGUCAGUCUGCAGCCGUGGCAUCGUCGCAAUGUGUGACACUACCAACCCUUCCGCCGCGGCCGGCCGUUCAAAGCCGUGCUGCCAGAACCACUGCUUACUGUAGAAAGAUUGCAAGGAAUGUGGCCGCAAUGGCUACAUCAACUGGAGAAGUUGCCACUGCAGAUGCCACAGCUGAAACGGCAACCACUGAGCUACCAUCAGAGCUUGUCCAAAAGAUUCAAGAAGUUUGGGACAAAGUUGAUGAUAAGUACGCAGUCAGUUCAUUGGGCGUUGCUGCAUUUAUUCUUCUUUGGAGCUCCACUGGAGUGAUCUCGGCAAUUGACAGGCUUCCUUUGAUUCCUGGUGUUCUUGAGCUUGUAGGAAUUGGUUACACCGGUUGGUUUGCCUACAAGAACUUGAUCUUCAAACCUGACAGAGAAGCUUUGAUAGCAAAAAUCAAGGAAUUGUACAAGGAUAUUCUUGGGAGCAGCUAAAUGGAAACAUAGUCCGAUGCUGCUGCAGAGACAUGGUCAAAAUAGAUUUCAGUUGAGCAAUCUUGCAGCUUUGCUCUUCAAAAUGUAAACUCUGCUUCGAUCUUUUGUCUUUUUAUUCUAACAGAAUAAAACCCAACUGAACUAUGUCUAUAUAUGUGCUUAUCUGUAUAUUGUCUUUUCAUUUCCUCACCUUCAAUAUGUUCUCAUUAGCAGUUGGAAGUUAAUGUAUA
rnacentral:misc_RNA from 1 species